rnacentral:rRNA from 1 species
GUUUGAUCCUGGCUCAGAUUGAACGCUGGCGGCAUGCCUUACACAUGCAAGUCGAACGGUAACAGGUCUUCGGAUGCUGGCGAGUGGCGGACGGGUGAGUAAUACAUCGGAACGUAUCCUAAAGUGGGGGAUAACGCAUCGAAAGAUGUGCUAAUACCGCAUACACUCUGAGGAGGAAAGUAGGGGAUCGAAAGACCUUAUGCUUUUGGAGCGGCCGAUGUCUGAUUAGCUAGUUGGUAAGGUAAUGGCUUACCAAGGCAACGAUCAGUAGUUGGUCUGAGAGGACGACCAGCCACACUGGGACUGAGACACGGCCCAGACUCCUACGGGAGGCAGCAGUGGGGAAUUUUGGACAAUGGGCGCAAGCCUGAUCCAGCAAUGCCGCGUGCAGGAAGAAGGCCUUCGGGUUGGU